UACGAGGGGGGCGAGCGUUGUUCGGAAUUAUUGGGCGUAAAGGGCGCGUAGGCGGUUAAUUGGGUCAGAUGUGAAAUUCCUGGGCUUAACCUGGGGGCUGCAUUUGAAACUAGUUGGCUAGAGUUCGGAAGAGGGUCGUGGAAUUCCCAGUGUAGAGGUGAAAUUCGUAGAUAUUGGGAAGAACACCGGUGGCGAAGGCGGCGACCUGGGCCUUUUACUGACGCUGAGGCGCGAAAGCGUGGGGAGCAAACAGG
rnacentral:rRNA from 1 species